rnacentral:misc_RNA from 1 species
AGAACUGUUUCUUGAGCUGAAGUGGCAACUUCCAACAUCCAAGUUGCAGGAUUGUAACCAUCUUUAAUGUUAGGUACACCUUCAAUUAUCUUCAUAUAAAGAAAACUACAUGAAUUAGUGAGAGUUAACAAGAGGAGAACUGCAAAAAUAUAUAUAUGCAUCAUUUAUUUUAUCUGAAAACAUCCAUUCUUCUUUCUUAACCUCAAAAU